UGCUUAUCAGUGAUGUUGUCGAAAAAAUGUCUGAACAUAUGAAUGCAAUAUUGAUUUCAGCAUCUGACUGAGAUAAGCU
ensembl:snoRNA Snord72 small nucleolar RNA, C/D box 72